rnacentral:rRNA from 1 species
UACGUAGGGGGCGAGCGUUGUCCGGAGUUACUGGGCGUAAAGCGCUUGUAGGCGGUCCACCAAGUUUGGGGUGACAGUUGCCGACUUAAUCGGCAAAGUGCCUCAAAGACUGGCGGACUUGAGGGCCACAGAGGGACAUGGAACUCCAGGUGUAGCGGUGAAAUGCGCAGAUAUCGGGAAGAACACCCGUGGCGAAGGCGGCUCUCUGGGACGGUACUGACGCUGAGACGCGAAAGCGUGGGGAGCGAACAGG